rfam:Clostridium baratii str. Sullivan, complete genome.
UAAAGUUAGGUCUGUGGUUGAAAGUCGAUGCUAGUCGCAGGCAAAACGAUCCACUUAAGCUAGGCAAAGAUUCUAGUGAGCAUGGUGCGGUAUAGAAGUAAGUCCUACCAGGCAUUAAAGCUUGAGAGGGUUAGUAGUGAGAGGUUAAUUCCGGGUAGCGAAAUCUCCAGUAGGCGAGUGUGGGGGCAAAAACCAGUGUCAGCUAACUUUA